GUGAAUCAUCGAAUCUUUGAACGCACAUUGCACUCUCCUCGGAGAGUAUGCCUGUUUGUGGGUCAGCCUCCAAAAAAUCGACAUCGUUGCUGUUUCGCGGUGGCGUUCGUCGGAAAUUGGGUCAUCUUAUAUCUUUUGGUUUUACGCUACUUAAAAUUUUCUUUUGGUUCCAUUAACGUUUCUAUGAUCUAUUUCUUUACACGCUUACGGUAUCGAUUUUUACUUGACCUGUCCAUCAUAUCGGAUCGUGUCCAUAAUCUUUCAUUAACUGACCUCCUACUGGUCAG
rnacentral:misc_RNA from 1 species